CUGUUUCCAUUUUCUGAAGGAGUCCCAGAUCCAUAUCUGAGUAAACCUGAAGGGAAACCUGUUGUCGGUUCCGUCUUUACUCUUGCAGAAUCGCAGCGCCACCUGCAGGGAUCCGCAUGUACACCACCCCCGGAUUAACGGCCGGCCCCACUGCUGCGCAGAAAAAGGAGAAAUGGACAAGCUCACAGAACCCACAAAGUAAUCAAACGAAAAUACAGUGGAAAUGGCUGCAGCGCAUCUUAAUUCUCUCAGGGUAUUAUUUCUUAAAACAGAAGGACAGGAAGAGGAUAAAGUUUGGACAUGGACAGAAGCAA
rnacentral:lncRNA from 1 species